GAGCCCGGGCGGAGCGGCCGUCGG
rnacentral:ncRNA from 2 species